CCAACGCAUAACAACGCUUGUUAAUCUGUGGUGACCAAACAAGAAUUAAAUAAUUAAAUAAAAUUUAUUCCAAAAUACAAUUUACAAAUUGCUAACCGUGGUCUGGAAGUUACUAAUUCUGACGCUAUUUUUUUACUAAGUAUUAAGUAAAAUGUAUUUUCAAUUAAUAAUUGUAAUAUUUUCUUUUUUAACUAUAAGUAAUGUUGAAGCUUCGCAAGGAUACGAUUUUGGUGACUUUCUAGCUACUAUAUUGGGAUUAGGCAUUGCUGUAAUCGGAAUUCUAGCAUGUUUGGGCAACUAUGCUAGACAAAGGGCACGAAACGAGUUUAUUUAAAGUCAAUGAUAUAUAUUUGCUCAGUAAAAUAUUAGAGGAUUCAUCAAAAAUGAUAUUCACCCUACAAGUAAAUUUCUGAAGAUUGUUAAAAUAAACAAUAUGUUUGUUAAAUGACCUUACCAUUUUGCACCUAUAUGUGUAUAUAUGUAAGAGAUAAUAUUAAAAACUGCUUUAAUUAAAAUGUAAUCAUUGUU